CUAGAGGCCUAGAGAGUCACUGACCGCACAAUCUCUCCCUCCUCUCAGCUCACGCCUUUUCUCUCUCCUCUCAACUCCAUGGUAAUUCUGCAACUCCCAAUCCUCCCAAACCCUAGAAAUUCAAUGAAGAACCCUAACAAAUUUCGAUAUCUGGAUUCCUCAUCGUGGAAAAACAAUGAUGCAGACGCACAAAGUACGGAUUGCAAAUUAGAGUUCCAAAUCAAGACGGCAUGUCGAUUCUCGCAGCGGAGAUGGCAACAGAGGGCUUCUCCUCUGCCGGGCUCUCAUCCGACAAAUUAACCCUCCAAACCCUACAAUAAAAAAUGAAAUGCGAUCCAUAAAUCUAUGAAUCCGAAUUGCAGUAUCUUUACAAAUAAUUCAAAUCCUUACUCAAGAUUUUCGCGGAUCAAGCGGCUCUCAGCUUCUAUUCAGUUAGCGGCAUUGCCCCUGACACUUUUGUCACCAAAGACCUCGGUGAUAAGGCCAUGUUCUUGGCUCACAUGACUCCGUUUUACCCUAAGGAGCUCGCCGGUCUUCUUCGAACUUCCGGGAAGUCAUUGUUUAGUACUUUCAAAAGAAUUUGUAACUGAAGCAAAGCCCAGAUCGGUGUAGCAGCCUCAAUGACUGCAAAUUAGAGGGUUGUCCAUGUGUUAACAGAAUCUGCCAGUGUCAUAAAACCAUGGUGGCAGAAGAAGCUUAUUCAAAGAUACCAGCUCAACUAACUGACAAGGCCAGACUUCAAUGUUCUGGAGACUGUAAAUGCAAAAAACCCGAAGUUGAAGCAGUCUAUCAAACCCUAGAUUACACGCGUCCAGUCGCUGUCUUCGCAUCUUCUCCUUCCCGCUGCUCUUCUCCAUCUCCGCGAUCCCCAUUUCCCUCAAUUGUCCGGAUCUGACUUCGGAGACUCCUUAUGCAAGUGUGCUUUGGCUCUUUGGUUGGUGUCGUUGAUCGAGCAUUGGGAGAGCAUCAACGCAGUCUUCAACUCCUCAGGCAUGUAUAAAACACUGGAAUAGGGUUUAUUUGUGGGUCACUAAUGUUUUAAAUUGCUGAUUUGAUUGCAAAGGCAAAAGAAGGAGGUGUAUGUGAUUGCUGAUUUCUGGUGUUGUUGUUUUUAUGUAUGGCUUGAGUUCAUGAAUGUAUCCUAAUUGUUAUUUUUAAUUUUUAUGUAACAGUUGAUGGGUUGAAGGUUUUUAAGGUGUACACAAAUGGAUCAUAGAUGAUGUGGCUCUAAGAGUUUCAUGUACAUGUCUUAUGUCAGUUUAUCAGGAGGGCAAAUAAAAUUUGGUGGCACAGUCAAGCAGGAGCUUCUCAUAUUGUGUAAACAUUUGCCUUAGAAAAAUAAAUGGCUAACUCAAUUUUGAUGUAGAUGUGCAAUACCACUCACUAUGACUUUUCUUGGCUCAUCUCGGGCACCGCCUGUAAAAUUUGAACUGUUUUACUUAUUUUUACUUUUUAGUACUGAAUUUGAGUAAAUUGUGUUCAUUUCUUAUUUUAAAGAAAAUCGCCUUAAGUUAUGUAAUUUGAUAUGGUUUGUGACAAUAUAUCCAUCUAUUAUUUUAGUUUGUGUAUAA